rfam:Schistosoma margrebowiei strain Zambia genome assembly, scaffold: SMRZ_scaffold0000121
AUCCAACUGGCGAGUCCCGAAUAGGACGAAACGCGCGUCCUGGAU